rnacentral:rRNA from 1 species
AUUGAACGCUGGCGGCAUGCUUUACACAUGCAAGUCGAACGGUAACAGGCCGCAAGGUGCUGACGAGUGGCGAACGGGUGAGUAAUGCAUCGGAACGUGCCCAGUCGUGGGGGAUAACUACUCGAAAGAGUAGCUAAUACCGCAUACGAUCUAUGGAUGAAAGCGGGGGACCGUAAGGCCUCGCGCGAUUGGAGCGGCCGAUGUCAGAUUAGGUAGUUGGUGGGGUAAAGGCUCACCAAGCCAACGAUCUGUAGCAGGUCUGAGAGGACGACCAGCCACACUGGGACUGGGCCACGGCCCAGACUCCUACGGGAGGCAGCAGUGGGGAAUUUUGGACAAUGGGCGCAAGCCUGAUCCAGCAAUGCCGCGUGCAGGAAGAAGGCCUUCGGGUUGUAAACUGCUUUUGUACGGAACGAAACGGCUCUGGUUAAUACCCGGGGCUAAUGACGGUACCGUAAGAAUAAGCACCGGCUAACUACGUG